rnacentral:lncRNA from 1 species
AGAGCCGUUAGUAGCAAUCCCUGUACUUCAAAAUUACAUAGCCAGAACAGGACAGGAGUCACCUGUCGGAUUAAGGCUAUACUUGACUAUUAUGUUGCCUUAGGCUUGAUUUCCUAUUCAGGGUCACCCGUCAGAGAGGCUUGACCAUAGUAGAGGUCUCUACCCGUGGCACGGUAUUGACACCCUUCUAAUCAGGGAAAAGAUUGGAC